UACGUAGGGGGCGAGCGUUGUCCGGAUUUAUUGGGCGUAAAGAGCUUGUAGGCGGUUUGUCGCGUCUGCUGUGAAAUUUCGGGGCUCAACCCCGAACUUGCAGUGGGUACGGGCAGACUAGAGUGUGGUAGGGGAGACUGGAAUUCCUGGUGUAGCGGUGAAAUGCGCAGAUAUCAGGAGGAACACCGAUGGCGAAGGCAGGUCUCUGGGCCAUAACUGACGCUGAGAAGCGAAAGCAUGGGGAGCGAACAGG
rnacentral:rRNA from 1 species